rnacentral:rRNA from 1 species
CUGGGUUUGACAUGGCCGCAAAACUGUCAGAGAUGGCAGGUCCUUCGGGGGCGGUCACAGGUGGUGCAUGGCUGUCGUCAGCUCGUGUCGUGAGAUGUUGGGUUAAGUCCCGCAACGAGCGCAACCCUUGUCCGAUGUUGCCAGCGCGUUAUGGCGGGGACUCAUCGGAGACUGCCGGGGUCAACUCGGAGGAAGGUGGGGAUGACGUCAAGUCAUCAUGCCCCUUAUGUCCAGGGCUUCACGCAUGCUACAAUGGCCGGUACAAAGGGCUGCGACACCGUAAGGUGGAGCGAAUCCCAAAAAGCCGGUCUCAGUUCGGAUCGGGGUCUGCAACUCGACCCCGUGAAGUCGGAGUCGCUAGUAAUCGCAGAUCAGCAACGCUGCGGUGAAUACGUUCCCGGGCCUUGUACACACCGCCCGUCACGUCACGAAAGUCGGCAACACCCGAAGCCGGUGGCCCAACCCCUUGUGGGAGGGAGCCGUCGAAGGUGGGGCUGGCGAUUGGGACG